GUGCCCGUAGCUCAGUAGGAUAGAGCACCAGAUUCCUAAUCUGGGGGCCGCAUGUUCGAAUCAUGCCGGGCACGCCA
rnacentral:tRNA from 2 species